CAGAAUGUAGCUAAACUAGUAAAGCAUCUCCCUUACACCGAGAAGUCACCCGUGCAAACCGGAUCAUUCUGA
rnacentral:tRNA from 1 species